rnacentral:rRNA from 1 species
CCUACGGGAGGCAGCAGUGAGGAAUAUUGGUCAAUGGCCGUAAGGCUGAACCAGCCAAGUCGCGUGAAGGAAGAAGGAUCUGUGGUUUGUAAACUUCUUUUGUAAGGGAAUAAAGGUGUCCACGUGUGGAUCUUUGCAUGUACCCUAUGAAUAAGCAUCGGCUAACUCCGUGCCAGCAGCCGCGGUAAUACGGAGGAUCCGAGCGUUAUCCGGAUUUAUUGGGUUUAAAGGGUGCGUAGGGGGAUUGUUAAGUCAGUUGUGAAAGUUUGGGGCUCAACCGUAACAUUGCAGUUGAAACUGGCAGUCUUGAGUACAGGAGAGGUGGGCGGAAUUCGUGGUGUAGCGGUGAAAUGCUUAGAUAUCACGAAGAACUCCGAUUGCGAAGGCAGUUCACUGGACUGCAACUGACACUGAGGCUCGAAAGUGUGGGUAUCAAACAGGAUUAGAUACCCGGGUAGUC